CGCACACUUGCGGAAGCCUUUGCAGCAUGGAGACAGUAGCCCAACGACUAUAAACAAUCCGGUGCCUCAUGCAAGUCAGCUCCGGCUGGCGACACUUUCGAAUUGCGGGGAACCCCUAAGAGCCCUUCACACCAAGCCAGCCUGGGAAACCAGCUGGUGGCCCAUUGGAAACCAUGGGGUACGGUAACAGUUGAAGGGAUGAACCAGCACUGCAAGGUGCCUGGGGAAAUGGGCAAUCCGCAGCGAAGCCCCUGGUGUUGAUGGUAGCAGUCUCCAAGCUCUGCUUGGUCCCGGAUCUGUUGAGGCUCGCCCUUGAACUUAUCCGCUGCGCAGCCAAACAUGGGGAACGUUCACAGACUAAGUGGAAGUGGGUGGAGCGCUGCAGCUCUGCUUAAGAUAUAGUCGGGCCCCCUUGGAAACUUUGGGGAUGAGUCCUUGAACACGAGCGGUAACAGGGAGGACGGAUUGGUUGGAAACUCGAAUUCGACAGCUAUCUAUGUACAUGUACAACAACAUUCUACUCAGCUAUGCGCCAGAACUCCAACACCAUCAUACAGCGCCUGUGCGAGUGAACUACCGCGCAAGCACCAUUGCGUGCUGCGACGUCUUGCUCGAACUGCGCGUCUGACCAACUAUGAUGUCCGGCUAAUCCAUCCUCCCAACCCUCGCGCUCACGCUCGAAGAACAUCGCACACAACGCUCGCGACUGAUUGACAACGUUGGUCUCCUGAACGAGGUACAGCGGGUUGAUGUUGCUACAACAACAACAAUGUUAACAGUGCGAUGCGAAACGACGGCUAUGAUACAACAGACUAAGCGGUUUCCCCCCCCAAUACCAGUACGUGAGAUACAUCGAGCCCUCUUUGCAGGUGUCCGUAGUGCUCGCGGAAUGUGAGGCGGUGGGCGAGAUACUUGUGGCCAGCGUACCGCACUGUAGUAGCCGUUAGCAACGAACAAGACGAACUGAGGGGGAAGCUUACCUUGCCCGUAACCAUCGUGAGAGGUCACAUACGGAUGGAAGACCGGUCCUGAAGGCCAUUGGCGCGGUGUUUGGCGUAAGCCUUGCAUCUCGGCAACGGUCAGAUGUCGGUUGCGGCGUCUGAAUUCGGCGCUAUCCAUGAUCUGCGUGACAGCGCCUCUGACUUGGUUUGCGGAGAGGUCUUCUACUGAGGGCAUCUGCGAGAAAUGUUAGCCAGAAUGAAAAGCGGCCCACUGUGUGAUUCGAACUCGGGCACACUUACGUUGAGGUAUUGUGGUUGUGUGAUGGGAUUGCUGAAGCUAGACCGCUGGGCCACGCAGGCUGUGCGGCGUUGUUGAUGCAAUUCUGGCGCCUACUGAAAUCUAUAUACCCUACGCUCGCUGCCUUUCCUCUACGUUAUCGUUCUUACCAGCUCUGCCGAGGGUGGUUGCAACCUGAACUGGAAGCAAGCACCUCUCGCCUCCUCUCUGCUGGGGGAGUUGCAACCUGAAAGGGAAGUAACCACUCCAGCUGAGGUAGCAGCGUACCUCCCCUCUCUAGUUUCGGUCUUGUGCGUGUGUGCGUGUGUUCUUUGAGGAUGGACUCCUCAGCAAACGUUCCGUAGGUGAACCUGCGGAAGGAUCAUUAUCUAUUUUAAUGGUGUUGGUCGCGGCCCCCGGCGGAAGUGUCCCCGGGCGGUAGAGGUAACACUCUCACGCGGCCACAUGCCUUCAUCCUUUUUUUACGAGCACCUUUCGUUCUCCUUCGGUGGGGCAACCUGCCGUUGGAACCUAUCAAAACCUUUUUUUGCAUUUAGCAUUACCUGUUCUGAUACAAACAAUCGUUACAACUUUCAACAAUGGAUCUCUUGGCUCUGGCAUCGAUGAAGAACGCAGCGAAAUGCGAUAAGUAGUGUGAAUUGCAGAAUUCAGUGAAUCAUCGAAUCUUUGAACGCACAUUGCGCCCCUUGGUAUUCCAUGGGGCAUGCCUGUUCGAGCGUCAUCUACACCCUCAAGCUCUGCUUGGUGUUGGGCGUCUGUCCCGCCUCUGCGCGCGGACUCGCCCCAAAUUCAUUGGCAGCGGUCCUUGCCUCCUCUCGCGCAGCACAUUGCGCUUCUCGAGGUGCGCGGGCCGCGUCCACGAAGCAACAUUACCGUCUUUGACCUCGGAUCAGGUAGGGAUACCCGCUGAACUUAAGCAUAUCAAUAAGCGGAGGAAAAGAAACCAACAGGGAUUGCCCUAGUAACGGCGAGUGAAGCGGCAACAGCUCAAAUUUGAAAUCUGGCUCUCUUUGGGGGUCCGAGUUGUAAUUUGCAGAGGAUGCUUUGGCAUUGGCGGCGGUCUAAGUUCCUUGGAACAGGACAUCGCAGAGGGUGAGAAUCCCGUACGUGGGCGCCUGCCUUUGCCGUGUAAAGCUCCUUCGACGAGUCGAGUUGUUUGGGAAUGCAGCUCUAAAUGGGAGGUAAAUUUCUUCUAAAGCUAAAUACCGGCCAGAGACCGAUAGCGCACAAGUAGAGUGAUCGAAAGAUGAAAAGUACUUUGGAAAGAGAGUCAAAAAGCACGUGAAAUUGUUGAAAGGGAAGCGCUUGCAGCCAGACUUGCCCGCAGUUGCUCACCUAGGCUUUGGCCUGGGGCACUCUUCUGCGGGCAGGCCAGCAUCAGUUUGGGCGGUUGGAUAAAGGCCUCUGUCACGUAUCUUCCUUCGGGAUGACCUUAUAGGGGAGGCGUAAUGCAACCAGCCCGGACUGAGGUCCGCGCAUCUGCUAG
rnacentral:sRNA from 1 species